CAGGCUUCACAAAAUGAAGAUGGUAGAUGAUUACGCGUAGGGUGCGGCCUAAACUACUUGGGUUGUGGGGGCUGAACUGCGAAAAAUCCCUGGGCUCGCGUUCCCUGCCUGUGAUGAAGCUUGCGUUGGUAGGGACAUCUGAGACUGUUGAUGAAUGCCAACGGCUCUGAUGGCGGCGCGUGCAGAUCACCCAGUAAUUGUGCUGGGCACGAAUGCAAUGUGGCUUUUGAUGGCUUCUGAUGGACAGUUCUGUGCCAAAGGGGUGGAAGUGGCUGCCAAGGUCCUAAGUUUCACACCCUUGCUAUGGGCAAAGAGGCACUAAACAGGAGUAUCUGGAAGUUGAAGGGGUGGACUUGAGUCUUAACACAUGUCUGGACCGACCGUAUUUGGGCUUAUAGGCCACUAUCAUGGAUGGCUUGCUUGGGGUACUGAGUUUGAAGACAUUUUCAUAUAAAGGUGUGAAGAGUUUGGGGCACCUUACAAAGCCUGGAACAAGGAGUUCUAAGGCAGACUUGCCAACCUGAAGAUUUAGAGGGUGUUUAUGAGAGCAGCAAUCCAGUUAUGAGAGCAGCUUACCAGUUGAAAGGCACCUGAAUGGAUGCUUAUGUGAUGUGAUAGAUCAAAUUUCCAAUUUCAAUAAAUUUUUAUAAACCAUCUGA